CGCCCGCCGCGCGCGGCGGGCGGGGCGGGGGCACGGGGGGCGUACGGGAGGCAGCAGUAGGGAAUCUUGCGCAAUGGGCGAAAGCCUGACGCAGCCAUGCCGCGUGAAUGAUGAAGGUCUUAGGAUUGUAAAAUUCUUUCACCGGGGAAGAUAAUGACGGUACCCGGAGAAGAAGCCCCGGCUAACUUCGUGCCAGCAGCCGCGGUAAUACGAAGGGGGCUAGCGUUGCUCGGAAUUACUGGGCGUAAAGGGCGCGUACGCGGAUAGUUUAGUCAGAGGUAAAAGCCCAGGGCUCAACCUUGGAGCUGCCUUUGAUACUGGCUAUCUUGAGUUCGGGAGAGGUGAGUGGAAUGCCGAGUGUAGAGGUGAAAUUCGUAGAUAUUCGGCGGAACACCAGUGGCGAAGGCGACUCACUGGCCCGAUACUGACGCUGAGGCGCGAAAGCGUGGGGAGCAAACAGGAUUAGAUACGCUGGUAGUCCACGCUGUAAACGAUGAGUGCUAGUUGUCGGCAUGCAUGCAUGUCGGUGACGCAGCUAACGCAUUAAGCACUCCGCCUGGGGAGUACGGUCGCAAGAUUAAAACUCGAAGGAAUUGACGGGG
rnacentral:rRNA from 1 species